AUUGAACGCUGGCGGCAGGCCUAACACAUGCAAGUCGAGCGGAUGAAGGGAGCUUGCUCCUGGAUUCAGCGGCGGACGGGUGGGUAAUGCCUAGGAAUCUGCCUGGUAGUGGGGGAUAACGUCCGGAAACGGGCGCUAAUACCGCAUACGUCCUGAGGGAGAAAGUGGGGGAUCUUCGGACCUCACGCUAUCAGAUGAGCCUAGGUCGGAUUAGCUAGUUGGUGGGGUAAAGGCCUACCAAGGCGACGAUCCGUAACUGGUCUGAGAGGAUGAUCAGUCACACUGGAACUGAGACACGGUCCAGACUCCUACGGGAGGCAGCAGUGGGGAAUAUUGGACAAUGGACGAAAGCCUGAUCCAGCCAUGCCGCGUGUGUGAAGAAGGUCUUCGGAUUGUAAAGCACUUUAAGUUGGGAGGAAGGGCAGUAAGUUAAUACCUUGCUGUUUUGACGUUACCAACAGAAUAAGCACCGGCUAACUUCGUG
rnacentral:rRNA from 1 species